rnacentral:rRNA from 1 species
GACGAACGCUGGCGGCGUGCUUAACACAUGCAAGUCGAACGAUGAAGCUGGAGCUUGCUCCGGUGGAUUAGUGGCGAACGGGUGAGUAACACGUGAGCAAUCUGCCCUUGACUCUGGGAUAACUGCGGGAAACUGUAGCUAAUACCGGAUACGAGACCUGAAGGCAUCUUCGGGUCUGGAAAGAAUUUCGGUCAAGGAUGAGCUCGCGGCCUAUCAGCUUGUUGGUGAGGUAAUGGCUCACCAAGGCGACGACGGGUAGCCGGCCUGAGAGGGUGACCGGCCACACUGGGACUGAGACACGGCCCAGACUCCUACGGUAGGCAGCAGUGAGGAAUAUUGCACAAUGGGCGAAAGCCUGAUGCAGCAACGCCGCGUGAGGGAUGAAGGCCUUCGGGUUGUAAACCUCUUUUAGCAGGGAAGAAGCGAAAGUGACGGUACCUGCAGAAAAAGCACCGGCUAACUACGUGCCAGCCGCCGCUGUAA